GAUGGUUUGGCCGAGUGGUCUAAGGCGCCAGAUUUAGGCUCUGGCGAAAGGCGUGGGUUCAAAUCCCACAGUGUCA
rnacentral:tRNA from 1 species